rnacentral:Y_RNA from 1 species
GGCUGGUCUGAGUGCAGUGAUAUUUACAACUAAUUGAUCACAACCAGUUACAGAUUUCCUUGUCUCUUCUUCACUCUUACUGCUUCACUUGACUAGCCUUAA